AUACGGCGCUUUUAACGACACACACAUUUCGUCACAUAUCGUAGGGUCCCUCUAUCAGGGCUUGUCAACAAGUCCUGGAAGGGUACGGUAUGGGAAAUGUGGAGGCUUAAC
rnacentral:sRNA from 1 species